ACGAAGGUGGCAAGCGUUAUUCGGAUUUACUGGGCGUACAGGGAGCGUAGGCGGUUCGGUAAGCCCUCUGUGAAAUCUUCAGGCUUAACCUGGAAAAGUCGGAGGGGACUGCUGGGCUAGAGGACGGGAGAGGAGCGCGGAAUUCCCGGUGUAGCGGUGAAAUGCGUAGAGAUCGGGAGGAAGGCCGGUGGCGAAGGCGGCGCUCUGGAACGUUUCUGACGCUGAGGCUCGAAAGCGUGGGGAGCAAACAGGAUUAGAUACCCUGGUAGUCCACGCCUUAAACUAUGAAUACUAAGUGUCGGCGGGUUACCGCCGGUGCCGCAGCUAACGCAUUAAGUAUUCCGCCUGGGAAGUACGGCCGCAAGGUUG
rnacentral:rRNA from 1 species